rnacentral:rRNA from 1 species
GAUGAACGCUGGCGGCGUGCUUAACACAUGCAAGUCGAACGAUGAUGCCCAGCUUGCUGGGUGGAUUAGUGGCGAACGGGUGAGUAACACGUGAGUAACCUGCCCUUGACUCUGGGAUAAGCCUGGGAAACUGGGUCUAAUACCGGAUACGACCAUCUGGCGCAUGUCAUGGUGGUGGAAAGCUUUUGUGGUUUUGGAUGGACUCGCGGCCUAUCAGCUUGUUGGUGGGGUAAUGGCCUACCAAGGCGACGACGGGUAGCCGGCCUGAGAGGGUGACCGGCCACACUGGGACUGAGACACGGCCCAGACUCCUACGGGAGGCAGCAGUGGGGAAUAUUGCACAAUGGGCGCAAGCCUGAUGCAGCGACGCCGCGUGAGGGAUGACGGCCUUCGGGUUGUAAACCUCCUUCAGUAGGGAAGAAGCGAAAGUGACGGUACCUGCAGAAGAAGCGCCGGCUAACUACGUG